rnacentral:misc_RNA from 1 species
AUCCAUUGGGUGCUGGCGUAAUGUAUGAUGAAGCGCAGGCCUGCAUAGAACAGUAUUGAGCGAACGUAUUAGCUGUGUAGUCUUCAGCGAGAGCAGUGCGUUCAUUCUAUUAGAUUGUGUUCUGCCCAACAGUCAAUACCUCGUGGACUAUUACCGUAUUGUAUUAAAUACGUGUAUGUGUGAAGGCUUAAUUGAGUGUUCUUCUUUGGAUUUUUAUAUCAAUUAUGUGUUUUAUCAAGGACCGAUUCUUCUCAAAGUUUGUUGGCAUGGUUACAUAUGUGUCCGUUAAACAGACAAUGAUGGAUAAGCGUUGCACGUUAUAAAAGUCAAAUAGAUAGUUAUUUUUCAAAGCUUUUUUGUCAUAUAUUUUGGAAAUCGGUGAGAUUCUGUAGUUUGUGGAAUAGAACGAAACAAAACAUCAUUCCAAAAAUGCACGGAAAACAGCAUUACGAUGAAGUGAUUGAAAUGAUCUACCCGAACUCAACAGAGGGUUCCUUCAAUGCUUCUCCUAAUACCACUGACGAAGACUACCCUGAAGUAGAGCCUUGGCAGAACCAGCCUUUCAUCUGGAUCAUCCUACUACUUUCAACAUGCGUCUUCGUUAUGGGCAUUGUAGGGAACCUGCUGGUGUGGUUUGCAGUAUGGAGGAACCACCGGAUGCGCUCUGCGACGAACCUGUUCCUAGUCAACCUGGCUCUAGCGGACUUUUUGGUUAUCUUGAUAUGUCUGCCACCUACUGUUAUUUCUGAUGUAACCGGCAACUGGCCACUUGGACACGAGAUGUGCAAAGCCGUGCACUAUUUACAGAAAGUAUCAGUCUUUGUGUCCGUUCUGACCCUGACAGCUAUAUCAAUGGAGAGAUGGAUGGCGAUAUGUCGUCCCCUAUGGUUCCGACAGACGUCUGUGAGAGCUAAACGGAUCAUUGUGUUAUUGUGGGGAAUAUCAUUCGCAGCUGCCAUUCCAGAUUUAGUAGUAUUACAAACAGUUUACCAUGAACAUUACGAUAUUACAAUUUGUCAGCCAAGCUGGGAUCUGAAGUUUGAGAAAAUAAGCCUAUUAUCAAUACUCGUGCUGUUCUACUUCAUUCCGUUGCUAAUUAUGACGUUCGCAUACGCAAAAGUAGCCAUUUGCCUAUGGCGAAGUGGAUCAGCCAAUGAAUCGACAGUUGCGGCUGCUAGCGUACCCCGAGCUCAACUUCUGAUCCGACAAAAGAAGGCCAAGAUGCUUAUCGUUGUUGUCCUCAUCUUUGCCAUCUGCUUCUUGCCCGUGUAUAUCCUCUUCUUGUUAAGGUGCUCUGAUGUGAGGAUUGCUCAAGAAGUAGCCAAGCCUGUCCUGAUGAUUGCUCACUUCCUCUGCUACUUCAACAGCGCCAUAAACCCCGUCAUAUACAACUUCAUGAGCUGUAACUUCCGCCGAGAGUUCAAGGUUGCAUGUCGGGUUUGCUGUAGGGAAGGUCAAGGUCACGGCCACACAAACUACUCUGCACAUGACGGCUGGGCGUUAAAAACCACCUCAGAUGCAAGGAAUGGGCAUUCCGGAGCCAUAGCAAGCAGAAACAUGAACUUGAGACAAUCAAGUGUCCUCACAUCAAGCGUUAGAAUAUCCAGUAUCAGAAAACCAAAUAUUCAAACUCAUGUUCAUUUUGGAAAGGUCCAAAAUGUGUAAACAAUCUUCAGAUCGUCAGUCGGACUCUUCGUUCUGUUGACUUACAACAAAACAUCCUAUGGUGUUAACGUUACUUCCGUAUGAGAGAAUGUUUUAAUUUCAUUAGAUACAGCUUUUAAGUUUGAAUGAUUUGUUACAUUAGAGCUUGUGUAUUCUGGGCACAACUCAUUAUUUAUUUGCUUGGACUAUAUAGUCAGUUGAGUUAUUUUAUUGACACUGUGAACAUUUUGCACCUGCUAUUAGAUUCAAAUGCUGCAGCCAAGUUGAAGCUUCACACAACAGACGUUUGAACCUCGAAAGAUUCUUCGUUCAGAAAUUUCAGCUCCAGUAUAACCGUUUAUAUAAAGAUUAUUAGUAUGCACAUCAUACAUUUGCAACCUGUUUGAAUCUUCUUGUUCUCGGAAUAUUGAACAGAAUAUAACAUUAUACACAUCGAAACAACAUAAAAUACAAUAUAAUACUUGUGUGGUGUCGUAUCAAUGCCUAAUUAACAAAACACAUUUUGGAGUUUGGACAUUAGGUACAAAUAUUUGGACACCUGUGAUAAUUAAAAACAAGGAAGUUAUUUAUCUUUUGACAUACAUUAUAAACCGUUAUGACAUGCUAUCGAAAUUUGUUUGUCAGGGUACAUAUUUGAAACCCCAGAAAGUAUAGAUUUAAAAAACAACAACAACAGACAUUUGGGUACUAAUACCAGUGCCUUUCUAAGAAGCUGAAAAACAUUUUGAAAAGAUAUUAAUAUUUUUCAAGAUACGGUUUAGGACUUUCUGUUAUUAUAAAGACCGCCAUGUACAUAUGUUACAUAUAUUGUACCAAUGGUCACGUUCGGUUGCGUAGCACUACAACAUCUUUGAUUAUGAAGACGGUUAUGUACAAAUGUUAAAUAUAUACAUAUACAAUGGUACAUGACAGUAGCUGUUCUUUCGUGUACAAUAAUGUCAAUUGCUGUGAUAUGGUAUAUUAAUGUUUCAUGUUAAAAUGUUUGUUUGUUAUGUGAUUUGUUUACAAAAGUUACGUUUGAUUGAAGAACAUUGUAUACUUAUAAGUAUGUACAUUUUAUCAUAUGUAACAUAUUUUGAUAGCCCGGUACUUACAAAUAUGUUUCUUCCUAAAUAUUUACCUUUUUGUCAUAUAAUAUUUCUUUUUCACAAUAAAAUUAUAUCUGAUAAAUGUACGUUAGCAGUAUUUAUGAUCUUCUCUCAAUUUGUAAUUAGAAAGGGAAAGAUCUUUAACCUCGGGCAUAAACAGAAACUGAUAUUUCAUCAACGCUAGCAUAUGAAACAAACGAGGCCCCAAAUGUGAACUGUUCUGAUAGUGUGACAGUUUUCACUACUUAAGUGGUAUUGUUGUUAAGUAUGAUGACUAGUAAGGGUUUUAUUAGAUUAAUCUGGUGCCACUAGUGGCAUUUUUCAUUACUGAACAUAUGAUAUAAAUCCAGUUUCGUUCCCCUUACGGGUAAGAUACAGUAUUUCAUAUCAUAUUAUUUAGAUAUUUGAUUGGGGUACAACUUAUGGUAAAGUAAUUGAAACAAAUGAAGAGUAUGAUUGUAAUGCCGCCCCUUUCAGAAAUGAUUAAGCUGUGUUGUUCUGUAGUGAAAAAUGUAUUUUUUUCAUUUUGCCUUGAAAGAAUGACACACGCAUAUGUAAAUAAAAACUUUUGUGAGGUGGAUGUUUGUCUUCUCCUAUGUUGAAUUUACACCAUUUGAUAUUAUGCUUCGCAAUGGAUAUGAUGUAAACAAAACAUGAUCAUCGCCUUUUGGGAGCUCUCAAAUGAGUGGCAAGGGCUUGGAGUACUAUAUUGUCUCAAAACACUUAUCUGUGGUGACAUGCAUACAUUUUUUGUCUUUGUACAUGUUUACUACAUUUCAAAUGUAGUGCUUUAAGUCUGUAAAAAUAUAUAUAAGUGCUUUCAGCCAAUGUAACCUUAUCGUUCUUAAUUCUACUCUUUUUACAUAUGUCGUCGUUGUCAAUAUACUCUGACAUUCUUCAGGUGCCAUUCACUCACCGUCACCCGAGAGCACGAGAAAGACUCGACUAAGCUGUUCUCCCAACUUAACUGUGUAUCGAGCAGUGCUUCAAACCAAACAGAAGUCCCCCCUGUCAAUGCUGUAAGACAAUGUUGCAACAAUGUCUAGCUUUAUUUGUUUUAUUGUCUUGUGGAAUCAUUUCCUAAUAAAUGCUGCAAAUUGUC